rnacentral:rRNA from 1 species
AUUGAACGCUGGCGGCAUGCCUUACACAUGCAAGUCGAACGGCAGCACGGGAGCAAUCCUGGUGGCGAGUGGCGAACGGGUGAGUAAUGUAUCGGAACGUACCUUUCAGUGGGGGAUAACGUAGCGAAAGUUACGCUAAUACCGCAUAUUCUGUGAGCAGGAAAGCAGGGGAUCGCAAGACCUUGCGCUGAUUGAGCGGCCGAUAUCAGAUUAGCUAGUUGGUGAGGUAAAGGCUCACCAAGGCGACGAUCUGUAGCGGGUCUGAGAGGAUGAUCCGCCACACUGGAACUGAGACACGGUCCAGACUCCUACGGGAGGCAGCAGUGGGGGAAUUUUGGACAAUGGGCGCAAGCCUGAUCCAGCCAUGCCGCGUGAGUGAAGAAGGCC